UACGAAGGGUGCAAACGUUGCUCGGAAUUAUUGGGCGUAAAGCGCACGUAGGCGGCUCUAUAAGUCGGAUGUGAAAUCCCUCGGCUCAACCAAGGAAGUGCAUCCGAAACUGUGGAGCUUGAGUACUUAAGAGGAUGCGGAAUUCCCGGUGUAGAGGUGAAAUUCGUAGAUAUCGGGAGGAACACCAGUGGCGAAGGCGGCGAUCUGGGAAGAUACUGACGCUGAGGUGCGAAAGCGUGGGGAGCAAACAGG
rnacentral:rRNA from 1 species